ACGAACGCUGGCGGCGUGCUUAACACAUGCAAGUCGAACGGAAAGGCCCUGCUUUUGUGGGGUGCUCGAGUGGCGAACGGGUGAGUAACACGUGAGUAACCUGCCCUUGACUUUGGGAUAACUUCAGGAAACUGGGGCUAAUACCGGAUAGGAGCUCCUGCUGCAUGGUGGGGGUUGGAAAGUUUCGGCGGUUGGGGAUGGACUCGCGGCUUAUCAGCUUGUUGGUGGGGUAGUGGCUUACCAAGGCUUUGACGGGUAGCCGGCCUGAGAGGGUGACCGGCCAAAUUUGGAAUGAGAUACCGGCCCGACCUCCAAGGGAGGCAGGCGUGGGGAAUAUUGCCCCAUGGGCGGAAGCCUUAUGCCGCAACGGCGCGGGGGGGAAGACCGCCCUCGGGUUGGAAACCGCUUUCGCCUGUGACGAAGCGUGAGUGACGGUAAUGGGUAAAGAAGCACCGGCUAACUACGUG
rnacentral:rRNA from 1 species